rnacentral:lncRNA from 1 species
CUCCUCAAUCCCCCCCUGUACAAUAAAUAAUGAGCGGUCCCUAACUUUAUAAUGUUAUCAUGUUGUAACAAAUAAUUAUGCAGUCAGGAAAUAAAAAUUUCAUGCAAACAAUAUUCAAAGUGUCUAUACAGCCAGCUAUUUAGUAAACUGUCACCUGUCAAUUCAAUUCAUACUCUUCAAAUUUUCAAAACUUUAUUGUAAUCAUAUGAAGCAAAAGUUAUGUCACUUGUUGUUUACAAUUGCCAAUGUUAACUGUUGAGUAACAUACACAAAAUAUUUGGUGAACAUG